UACUUAAGGUUGUAUGUCUCCUAGGUGAGCUCAGUUUCCCCAAGUUCCUGUGAUUCAUUUUUCUAGGUGUCAGUUCUGGAAGUUAAGUGUUAUUUUUUGUCGCGCCCAAGUUUAUUUUGGUCUAGGUUAAUUUAUUACUGUAUUUUUGGUUCCCUUACUAAUUUCCCAGGUUGAAUCAUUCACUAUGAGUUUUAAGAAUGGUUGAUCAAAUGGAAAUGCUCAGCUCUAAGUAAAGCAGACCUUAUGAUGGAGAAGAUAUGUAGGACAAAUUGCUGGCACGAUAUUGGGCAUAGCUGGUGCAGCAUAGUAGUGAAAUUCCUUCGCUGAGGCAUUUUAAAAAUGGACAUUGUUGCAAUGUUAUGUGCUGGUGGUCCCUGGUCCUUUACAACCUUGACAAAGGCUGAGUAAUGAGACAUAAGAAAUUUAUAGCCUCUUCAUUUCUUCUCAGGUUAAUGAAAGUUGCAUUAAACAUGAUGGACAUCGCCCACAAUGACAUUGAAUGUGUGAUGAACUUGCCAUCUCAUAAGUGGGACAAGACCAAACAGUUUGUCGGCGAGAUCAGCGAUGUGAUUCAGGCAAAUUAAGGCUGCAAUGAACC